rnacentral:sRNA from 1 species
GCCGGGCAUGGUGGCCCACACCUGCAUCCCAGCAGCUGGGGAGGCUGAGGCAGGAGGAUCACGAGUUCAAAGCCAGCCUCAGCAGCUCCGUGAGACCCUGUCUCUA